ACGGCUCAGUAACACGUGGCUAAUCUGCCCUUGGGACCGGAACACCCCCGGGAAACUGGGGCUAAUUCUCGAUAGGUGAAGAACUCUGGAAUGAGUCUUUGCCAAAAAGACGUUUACGUUAUGCUCGUAGACGUCGCCCAAGGAUGAGGCCGCGACCGAUCAGGUUGUUGGUGAGGUAAUGGCUCACCAAGCCUUUUACCGGUGCGGGCCGUGAGAGCGGGAGCCCGGAGAUGGGCACUGAGACAAGGGCCCAGGCCCUACGGGGCGCAGCAGUCGCGAAAACUUUGCAAUACACGAAAGUGUGACAGGGCUAUCCCGAGUGCCAUCCGCUGAGGAAGGCUUUUACCCAGUCUAGAACGCUGGGGGAAUAAGGAGAGGGCAAGUCUGGUGUCAGCCGCCGCGGUAAUACCAGCUCUCCGAGUGGUGUGGAUGUUUAUUGGGCCUAAAGCAUCCGUAGCUGGCUAAGUUAGUCCCUUGUUAAAUCCACCGAAUUAAUCGUUGGAUUGCGGGGGAUACUGCUUGGCUAGGGGACGAGAGAGGCAGACGGUAUUUCCGGGGUAGGGGUGAAAUCCUAUAAUCCCGGGAAGACCACCAGUGGCGAAGGCUGUCUGCUAGAACGCGCCCGACGGUGAGGGAUGAAAGCUGGGGGAGCGAACCGGAUUAGAUACCCGGGUAGUCCCAGCUGUAAACGAUGCAGGCUAGGUGUUUGGACGGCCACGUGCCGUUCUAGUGCCGCAGGGAAGCUGUUAAGCCUGCCGCCUGGGGAGUACGAUCGCAAGAUUGAAACUUAAAGGAAUUGGCGGGGGAGCAC
rnacentral:rRNA from 1 species